GAUGAACGCUGGCGGCGUGCUUAACACAUGCAAGUCGAACGAAGCACUUUAACCUGAUUCUUCGGAUGAAGGUUUUUGUGACUGAGUGGCGGACGGGUGAGUAACGCGUGGGUAACCUGCCUCAUACAGGGGGAUAACAGUUAGAAAUGACUGCUAAUACCGCAUAAGACCACAGAGCCGCAUGGCUCGGUGGGAAGAACUCCGGUGGUAUGAGAUGGACCCGCGUCUGAUUAGGUAGUUGGUGGGGUAACGGCCUACCAAGCCAACGAUCAGUAGCCGACCUGAGAGGGUGACCGGCCACAUUGGGACUGAGACACGGCCCAAACUCCUACGGGAGGCAGCAGUGGGGAAUAUUGCACAAUGGGGGAAACCCUGAUGCAGCGACGCCGCGUGAGCGAAGAAGUAUUUCGGUAUGUAAAGCUCUAUCAGCAGGGAAGUAAAUGACGGUACCUGACUAAGAAGCACCGGCUAAAUACGUGCCAGCAGCCGCGGUAAUACGUAUGGUGCAAGCGUUAUCCGGAUUUACUGGGUGUAAAGGGAGCGUAGACGGCUGUGUAAGUCUGAAGUGAAAGCCCGGGGCUCAACCCCGGGACUGCUUUGGAAACUAUGCAGCUAGAGUGUCGGAGAGGUAAGUGGAAUUCCCAGUGUAGCGGUGAAAUGCGUAGAUAUUGGGAGGAACACCAGUGGCGAAGGCGGCUUACUGGACGAUGACUGA
rnacentral:rRNA from 1 species